rnacentral:rRNA from 1 species
CCUACGGGAGGCAGCAGUGGGGAAUAUUGGGCAAUGGGCGCAAGCCUGACCCAGCAACGCCGCGUGAAGGAAGAAGGCUUUCGGGUUGUAAACUUCUUUUGUCAGGGACGAAGCAAGUGACGGUACCUGACGAAUAAGCCACGGCUAACUACGUGCCAGCAGCCGCGGUAAUACGUAGGUGGCAAGCGUUAUCCGGAUUUACUGGGUGUAAAGGGCGCGUAGACGGGAGCGCAAGUCUGGUGUGAAAACCCAUGGCUUAACCUUGGAACUGCUUUGGAAACUGUGCAGCUUGAGUGCAGGAGAGGUAGAGGGAAUUCCUGGUGUAGGGGUAAAAUGCGUAGAUAUUAGGAGGAAUACUCAUGGCGAAGGCGACCUGCUGGAACGUAACUGACGCUGAUGCGCGAAAGCGUGGGGAGCAAACAGGAUUAGAUACCCGAGUAGUC